rnacentral:rRNA from 1 species
UACGUAGGGACCAAGCGUUGUCCGGAAUCAUUGGGCGUAAAGCGCGCGUAGGUGGCUUCGUAAGUCCGUUGUGAAAGUCAAAGGCUCAACCUUUGAAAGCCGAUGGAUACUGCGGAGCAAGAGUACGGAAGAGGCGAGUGGAAUUCCUGGUGUAGCGGUGGAAUGCGCAGAUAUCAGGAGGAACACCAAUAGCGAAGGCAGCUCGCUGGGACGUUACUGACACUGAGGCGCGAAAGCGUGGGGAGCGAACAGG